rnacentral:rRNA from 1 species
GACGAACGCUGGCGGCGUGCUUAACACAUGCAAGUCGAACGGAAAGGCCUGCAGCUUGCUGCGGGUACUCGAGUGGCGAACGGGUGAGUAACACGCGGGUGAUCUGCCUUGCACUUCGGGAUAAGCUUGGGAAACUGGGUCUAAUACCGGAUAGGACAGCUGUUUAGUGUCAGUUGUGGAAAGUUUUUUCGGUGCAAGAUGAGCUCGCGGCCUAUCAGCUUGUUGGUGGGGUAAUGGCCUACCAAGGCGUCGACGGGUAGCCGGCCUGAGAGGGUGUACGGCCACAUUGGGACUGAGAUACGGCCCAGACUCCUACGGGAGGCAGCAGUGGGGAAUAUUGCACAAUGGGCGGAAGCCUGAUGCAGCGACGCCGCGUGGGGGAUGAAGGCCUUCGGGUUGUAAACUCCUUUCGACAGGGACGAAGCUUUUGUGACGGUACCUGUAUAAGAAGCACCGGCUAACUACGUGCCAGCAGCCGCGGUAAUACGUAGGGUGCGAGCGUUGUCCGGAAUUACUGGGCGUAAAGAGCUCGUAGGUGGUUUGUCGCGUCGUCUGUGAAAUUCCGGGGCUUAACUCCGGGCGUGCAGGCGAUACGGGCUGACUUGAGUGCUGUAGGGGAGACUGGAAUUCCUGGUGUAGCGGUGAAAUGCGCAGAUAUCAGGAGGAACACCGAUGGCGAAGGCAGGUCUCUGGGCAGUAACUGACGCUGAGGAGCGAAAGCAUGGGUAGCGAACAGG